AGCCAGGAACUGGGAAGGUUAUGAAGAUCUUCCUGAAGUUGAAGCUGCUGAGCUGCAAAGCAAGCUGGAUGUCCUUAAUUCCAUUAUGGACCAAGAGCUUAAUCAG
rnacentral:lncRNA from 1 species